rnacentral:rRNA from 2 species
AGCAGCCGCGGUAAUUCCAGCUCCAAUAGCGUAUAUUAAAGUUGUUGCAGUUAAAAAGCUCGUAGUUGAACUUCGGAAUUUAUUCAUUGGUCAGGCUUAACUGUCUGUACUGGUGUAUUGAAUUCCUACCUUCUGAGGAAUCAUCAUGUCAUUAACUUGGUGUGGUGGGGAAUCAGGACUGUUACUUUGAAAAAAUUAGAGUGUUUAAAGCAGGCUAACGUCUGAAUACAUUAGCAUGGAAUAAUAGAAUAGGACGGUUUGGUUCUAUUUUGUUGGUUUCUAGGAUCACCGUAAUGAUUAAUAGGGAUAGUUGGG